GUUUAUCCAUGAUUUUACAUUAAAUGGCUUAUGAUAAAUGUGGGUAUGACUGGUUAUUUUUAUGAUUUUAAGAAUAUGUGAACUGUGUGUUAAGUGAGCCAUGUCAUACUAUUGUGAUUUUAUUGGUUGGUGGAUUAUAAAGUGGGCACUACAGUGACAGAGGUUCCGUGGGCCAGCCUAAUUAGAGGGGCAUGGUUCCCAAUUAUUGAGCUUACCUCGAUUGGAGAGGCGCGUAGGAUAACUCUCGAGGUAGGAUUUGAGUACACUUCACGCUGGCCACCACGUGAAACUGGGA
rnacentral:lncRNA from 1 species